rnacentral:rRNA from 1 species
UACGUAGGGCGCAAGCGUUGUCCGGAAUUAUUGGGCGUAAAGAGCUCGUAGGCGGCUUGUCACGUCGAUUGUGAAAGCUCGGGGCUUAACCCCGAGUCUGCAGUCGAUACGGGCUAGCUAGAGUGUGGUAGGGGAGAUCGGAAUUCCUGGUGUAGCAGUGAAAUGCGCAGAUAUCAGGAGGAACACCGGUGGCGAAGGCGGAUCUCUGGGCCAUUACUGACGCUGAGGAGCGAAAGCGUGGGGAGCGAACAGG